ACAACGGCUGGCGGCGUGCCUAAUACAUGCAAGUUGAACGCAACAAAGACACCAGAGCUUGCUCUACCGUCUUUGUUGAGUAGCGAACGGUGAGUAACGCGUGGGUAACCUGCCUUAUAGCGGGGGAUAACUAUUGGAAACGAUAGCUAAUACCGCAUAACAAUAGAGAUUGCAUAAUCUUUAUUUGAAAGUGCCAACUGGUACACUAUGAGAUGGACCCGCGUUGUAUUAGCUAGUUGGUAGUGUAAUGGACUACCAAGGCGAUGAUACAUAGCCGACCUGAGAGGGUGAUCGGCCACAUUGGGACUGAGACACGGCCCAAACUCCUACGGGAGGCAGCAGUAGGGAAUCUUCGGCAAUGGACGAAAGUCUGACCGAGCAACGCCGCGUGAGUGAAGAAGGUUUUCGGAUCGUAAAACUCUGUUGUUAGAGAAGAAUGUUGAUUAGAGUGGAAAAUUAAUCAAGUGACGGUAUCUAACCAGAAAGGGACGGCUAACUACGUG
rnacentral:rRNA from 1 species